rnacentral:rRNA from 1 species
GUCGUCAGCUCGUGUCGUGAGAUGUUGGGUUAAGUCCCGCAACGAGCGCAACCCUUAUUAUUAGUUGCCAGCAUUAAGUUGGGCACUCUAGUGAGACUGCCGGUGACAAACCGGAGGAAGGUGGGGACGACGUCAAAUCAUCAUGCCCCUUAUGACCUGGGCUACACACGUGCUACAAUGGACGGUACAACGAGUUGCGAGACCGCGAGGUUUAGCUAAUCUCUUAAAACCGUUCUCAGUUA